rnacentral:rRNA from 1 species
GGGUCAGUAGGUUGGUCGUGCCACCGGUACGUACUGGUCUCACUGAUUCCUCCUUCCUGAAGAACCGUAAUGCCAUUAAUUUGGUGUUGCGGGGGAACAGGACUGUUACUUUGAAAAAAUUAGAGUGUUUAAAGCAAGCUAACGCUUGAAUACAUUAGCAUGGAAUAAUGAAAUAGGACGACCGAUCCUAUUUUGUUGGUUUCUAGGAUUGACGUA